CAACAGGGAUUGCCCUAGUAACGGCGAGUGAAGCGGCAACAGCUCAAAUUUGAAAUCUGGCUCUUUCAGAGUCCGAGUUGUAAUUUGCAGAGGGCGCUUUGGCUUUGGCAGCGGUCCAAGUUCCUUGGAACAGGACGUCACAGAGGGUGAGAAUCCCGUACGUGGUCGCUAGCUAUUGCCGUGUAAAGCCCCUUCGACGAGUCGAGUUGUUUGGGAAUGCAGCUCUAAAUGGGAGGUAAAUUUCUUCUAAAGCUAAAUAUUGGCCAGAGACCGAUAGCGCACAAGUAGAGUGAUCGAAAGAUGAAAAGCACUUUGGAAAGAGAGUCAAACAGCACGUGAAAUUGUUGAAAGGGAAGCGCUUGCAGCCAGACUUGCUUGCAGUUGCUCAUCCGGGCUUUUGCCCGGUGCACUCUUCUGUAGGCAGGCCAGCAUCAGUUUGGGCGGUGGGAUAAAGGUCUCUGUCACGUACCUCUCUUCGGGGAGGCCUUAUAGGGGAGACGACAUACCACCAGCCUGGACUGAGGUCCGCGCAUCUGCUAGGAUGCUGGCGUAAUGGCUGUAAGCGGCCCGUCUUGAAACACGGACCAAGGAGUCUAACAUCUAUGCGAGUGUUUGGGUGUCAAGCCCGAGCGCGUAAUGAAAGUGAACGGAGGUGGGAACCCGCAAGGGUGCACCAUCGACCGAUCCUGAAGUUUACGGAAGGAUUUGAGUAAGAGCAUGGCUGUUGGGACCCGAAAGAUGGUGAACUAUGCUUGAAUAGGGUGAAGCCAGAGGAAACUCUGGUGGAGGCUCGCAGCGGUUCUGACGUGCAAAUCGAUCGUCAAAUUUGGGCAUAGGGGCGAAAGACUAAUCGAACUAUCUAGUAGCUGGUUCCUGCC
rnacentral:rRNA from 1 species